rnacentral:rRNA from 1 species
UGGGGAAUAUUGGACAAUGGGCGCAAGCCUGAUCCAGCAAUGCCGCGUGAGUGAUGAAGGCCUUAGGGUUGUAAAGCUCUUUCGCACGCGACGAUGAUGACGGUAGCGUGAGAAGAAGCCCCGGCUAACUUCGUGCCAGCAGCCGCGGUAAUACGAAGGGGGCUAGCGUUGUUCGGAAUUACUGGGCGUAAAGGGCGCGUAGGCGGCCUGUUUAGUCAGAAGUGAAAGCCCCGGGCUCAACCUGGGAAUAGCUUUUGAUACUGGCAGGCUUGAGUUCCGGAGAGGAUGGUGGAAUUCCCAGUGUAGAGGUGAAAUUCGUAGAUAUUGGGAAGAACACCGGUGGCGAAGGCGGCCAUCUGGACGGACACUGACGCUGAGGCGCGAAAGCGUGGGGAGCAACAGGAUUAGAUACCCUGGUAGUCCACGCCGUAAACGAUGAAUGCUAGACGUCGGGGUGCAUGCACUUCGGUGUCGCCGCUAACGCAUUAAGCAUUCCGCCUGGGGAGUACGGCUGCAAGGUUAAAACUCAAAUGAAUUGAC